CUGGACUCUAAGUCCACCUGGAAGAAAUGAGAGCACUAUACAGUAUGCUGGCUGGGGACCUUGUGGGAGCCAGCUGAUGUUCAUCUUUAAAACUGAUAUAUACUAUCAAGAGGAAGCUUCUGGUCCUGUACAUAGACUCACAUCAUCUGGGGAUCCAGAAAGUUUGCUUAAUGGUAUCACUGACUGGACCUAUCAAGAGGAAGUGCUGCAUAGUUAUGUCGCUCACUGGUGGUCUCCUGACGGAGCUAGACUAGCCUAUUUAUCUAUCAACAAUACCCUCGUACCCAACAUGGAACUGCCGCAUUUUUUGGGUGCCGAUUACCCCAUCAGUACGCGAUAUGCCUAUC